GAGGAUUUGGCGGUGGUGGAUUUGGCGGUGGAGGAUAUGGCGGUGGAAGAUAUGGCGGUGGGUACGGAAGUGGAGGAUUUGGAGGUGGAUACGGUGGAAGUAGAUACGGAAACGGUGGAUUUGGAGGUGGUUUCAACAACGGAGGUUUCGGCAGCUAUGGAUACGGCAAGUAAACACGAGUCUUCAUUUCAUCAACAUCCAAGAGGAAGAUCUUCAAACUUUUACUCUUUAAAGAUUGAAUAAACUGAACUAGUUUAUAUUCUAACAUUAACAAUAAAUAUUCUUGACUGUA